GUGCUCGCUUCGGCAGCACAUAUACUAAAAUUGGAACGAUACAGAGAAGAUGAGCAUGGCCCCAGUGCAAGGAAGAACGUACUCAUUUGAUUUCUGCUGCAGUUCU
ensembl:snRNA U6 U6 spliceosomal RNA